rnacentral:rRNA from 1 species
GAUGAACGCUGGCGGCGUGCCUAAUACAUGCAAGUCGAGCGAACAGACGAGGGGCUUGCUCCUCUGACGUUAGCGGCGGGCGGGUGAGUAACACGUGGAUAACCUACCUAUAAGACUGGGAUAACUUCGGGAAACCGGAGCUAAUACCGGAUAAUAUAUUGAACCGCAUGGUUCAAUAGUGAAAGACGGUUUUGCUGUCACUUAUAGAUGGAUCCGCGCCGCAUUAGCUAGUUGGUAAGGUAACGGCUUACCAAGGCAACGAUGCGUAGCCGACCUGAGAGGGUGAUCGGCCACACUGGAACUGAGACACGGUCCAGACUCCUACGGGAGGCAGCAGUAGGGAAUCUUCCGCAAUGGGCGAAAGCCUGACGGAGCAACGCCGCGUGAGUGAUGAAGGUCUUCGGAUCGUAAAACUCUGUUAUUAGGGAAGAACAAAUGUGUAAGUAACUAUGCACGUCUUGACGGUACCUAAUCAGAAAGCCACGGCUAACUACGUG